UAAAUCCAGAUCGUCCGCUGAGCCAUUGGGAUGCGAGAAAGUCCAGCUGGUGCAGCAGUUUAGGCCCGUGGAAAAGGAAGAUACGGUAGCGAAUACGCGGUGCACAGUGUCGUAUGUGGGCCUUUUCGGUAUGGGCGUCCGUCGUCGCGCGUGGGUCCGCGGACGGCUCCGUCACUGGGAUGGGCUGUGCCAUGGCACAGGUCGUUAGUCGAGGGAGCGUGGAAAUCCAGAGCCGUCAUCCCGUCGGCUUGGGCCCGUCAUUGCAGGGUUGCUCUUGGAUCUCGAGGGAACGAGGGCGGCGUCGAGGACGGCCGGCGGCGUGGCAGGAUGGAGGAGAAGGGCUUGGAGUUCGUGCUCGAUCUGGUGGUCAGGAUCCCAAUUCGGGAAGAGUUCGCCGAUAACCUUGAGCACCCGGAUCCGGUGCCGCUAAGGCUGCUGCCCAGGGGGGAGGCUGGCGCUCUUGGCCCGUAUGAUUCAAAUGGUGAAUUUGGUUGCGCCCUGAGGCGCGGCGGAAAAGAGCCGCGUCGCCAACAAAGUCAGCUCAAUCUAUCGGAAAGGUUAACCGGGAGGCACCUGGAUGAUGGACGAAAAGGUUAAGACUAGGGAGUGCACCGCCGGACAGAAAUUCGUGCGCUUCAUGGAUGAGCGCACUGGAGCAAGCGAUACGGAAGUUUGCUGAGGAACCGACGAGGAGUGUGAUUAAACCAGAAUUAGGAACACGUUCCGAUUCGUUGAACGAGGCAUACGACUUCUGCAGUCUUUAUUCAUGGGAAGUUAGAUUCAGUAAAAAAAGCCGACUGAAUGCAGAAAGAACCAAGUCGAUGCAGGAGAGAGUGUGCGGUUGUUCGCUAGGUUCUGUGGUACGAGAUACAAUGGAAAGCCUGAGGCAGAGAAUAGCUGAUCAUGCAGGUGCGAGUGCCGAAAGUUUUGAAUGAGUUUUUGCUGAGUCCUGAGAAUGUUGGGUGGAUCACCGCCUACGACAAUUUUGACUGAUCAAAACAGAGCAGCCGAACCCUUACUUGCCAAUCAGCCAGAUUUUUCGUAUAGAUUUUUUGUGAAAACUGUUUUACCUGAAGAAUAUUUCAAUUAGUUAGCUGAACUAGGGUAAAUUGUUUGUAAAUCAGUACCUGCAUAGAUAUUGCAUUAGUAGGGAGAACUACUGUACUGAAUUAGCACGUUUGCAAAUUUUCACGCUAUGCCUCGGCAGUGCACCACCAGACAGGGCACCAUGUGCUUCUAGGAUGCUUAAACUGUUUUUUGGUUGAUCAUUGCAAAAAUUAAAUGUUGUUAUCCUGCAAGAAAUGGUUCAAGCACUUCCAUCCACUGCUGGCGGUGGCAUCCGGACAGGACUUGAUGGAUGAGCUCACUCCUGGGGGUGAGUUAACACUGAAUUUGUGUGCAUUCAACGGAUGCCCAGUGAGAAAGAGAAGAAAAUGUACCGCGGAUGGCUUGACAGAUGGAGAGAGAUUUUUAUCCUGUUUUUGUGGUAUAUAUGACUCGCUUGAUGAUUCCUUCUGUUGUGUGUUGUCUCCACUGCAUAUGAACCCGAGUCUGGUGUGUUUGGAUUGAAUGCAGGAUGAACUUUGUAAGGAAGACGACGAAAUAAACUGGGAUUAAACCAUUCAUGUUCCCUGUGAUGUUCAUGGAUUGCUGGUCCUUGUACAUUCUCGACACUGAGAAGAAGAUUGUAAUGGUGCUUGAUCCAACAGAGACAGAUCCAUCAGAUGAGAUGAAGAGGAAGCAUGAGGCGCUAGCGAGGAAGUUCCAGCGUAGGUUUUACAACCUUUUUAAUGACAAGUUUGGAGCAGGCUUGGUCGAGACGACUGGAUGGUCAUUUGUGUACUCGUUGGUUGCACAACACGAGCCAUGCACCAGGGAAGACGGUGUGGUGUAUGUCGUGCACUACAUACUGGAGUUCACUGGCCUUUACCUGAGAUCGAAUAUGAACCAGGAGCAGAUCGAGCACCUCCGCAAGAAGAUUGCAUGUGAUAUAGUGACGAUGAAGGGGAAUAAGGGAUGCAUCCCAGAGUUCCUGUACGAGGAGAUCCUUGACUAAAGUAAUGAAGUAUUCGUUCACUCUACGUGCAGCCCGGCAAGAUCUUUUGGUUGAAUUGUCCCGAUUUAGUUGCUGGGGCAUUUUGCAGCACAAACACCUGCCACCUUGUAGAUGAAAAACUAUGGACAUGUACUGCAUUUUUAGAUGGAUUCUUAAGCAGUUUAAGUAAAUGUAAGCGCUGAUAUGGUAUGUGGAUGUAUGUUCAUCUCUCAGAAUGUGCAAUGCUAUUGGUACUAGUGGUUAUUUGAUCCCGUGAUUUACAUACCAGAAUUGAGUAGCUGUGUCGGAAGCAGACAUAAUCCAUGUAUGACUUUGACACUGAAAAUCUGUUUGGAUGACAGAUAUGGCUGUUUUUCAUUGCAGCAAAUGCGGUUAAGGCGUACUAGAGCAGCAUGAAUCUUGUAUUAUAUCUGGAUUGUCGAUUUAUUUUUUGUUUUUUAGUGUUUUCAGCCUGUAGUUUCAUAUAUAUAUAUAGCAAAUCUGGGACAGGUUUAUGCCUGAAUUUGGAAAGUGUAAAUCACUAAGGGGAGUGGUUUUGGAACAAGAUUUUGAUGACAACUAGUACCUUUUGAUGCCAAGUGUGACACCGUACGAUGCAGUUAGAGGACCGCUAAGGAAUUUACUAUAGAUCCGUUGCAUGAAUGCUGAACCUAGCUGAAUAUGAUCAAAGCAACGUGCAGACAUUCAAGACGGACAGAACUUCUGUUUGGAGAUACAUGAGACAUCAUACAGAAGGAUGAUGUACUUGUAGAAUCGACGCCCGACUAGUCUCUGGUCCCGCCGCAACGUUCGUCUCGAGCUCGUCACCACAAAUGGACAAG